GCGGACCGACGGGAGCUUGCUCCCUUAGGUCAGCGGCGGACGGGUGAGUAACACGUGGGUAACCUGCCUGUAAGACUGGGAUAACUCCGGGAAACCGGGGCUAAUACCGGAUGCUUGAUUGAACCGCAUGGUUCCAAUCAUAAAAGGUGGCUUUCAGCUACCACUUACUGAUGGACCCGCGGCGCAUUAGCUAGUUGGUGAGGUAACGGCUCACCAAGGCGACGAUGCGUAGCCGACCUGAGAGGGUGAUCGGCCACACUGGGACUGAGACACGGCCCAGACUCCUACGGGAGGCAGCAGUAGGGAAUCUUCCGCAAUGGACGAAAGUCUGACGGAGCAACGCCGCGUGAGUGAUGAAGGUUUUCGGAUCGUAAAACUCUGUUGUUAGGGAAGAACAAGUACCGUUCGAAUAGGGCGGCACCUUGACGGUACCUAACCAGAAAGCCACGGCUAACUACGUGCCAGCAGCCGCGGUAAUACGUAGGUGGCAAGCGUUGUCCGGAAUUAUUGGGCGUAAAGCGCGCGCAGGCGGUUUCUUAAGUCUGAUGUGAAAGCCCCCGGCUCAACCGGGGAGGGUCAUUGGAAACUGGGGAACUUGAGUGCAGAAGAGGAGAGUGGAAUUCCACGUGUAGCGGUGAAAUGCGUAGAGAUGUGGAGGAACACCAGUGGCGAAGGCGACUCUCUGGUCUGUAACUGACGCUGAGGCGCGAA
rnacentral:rRNA from 1 species